CCUUUUUCAUCUUGUCCUCAUGCAGGAUCAACCUGCUGAAUGAAAAGUGAGCUUAUAUUGAAGAAGUAUGAAGUGAUUUCUCCACCAUGAAAGACAAUACUAAGUACAAUGUUGAGAGAAAGUCUGUGCCUUACUCUGAAAGACUUGCUCUAAUUCCCAGCUCUGGACAUAUCUGGCCAUGAUGUGAUUCUCAAGACACACUACUUAAGCACACAGGAGGUGAACUGAAGAGGCAAAGAAUGCUGCAGUUCAGGCGAAGAAGUAGAAUUCCUCCUUGGAAUGUCUCAAGUCAGCAACAGUAACAUAGGAUGCCUCCACAUGAUGCAUUUGAGAGGCGCAUGAGUGAGAACACAUAUAUGCCAAAUGCUCAUCCAGGUUUAAUUAGAAGAGAACUGAAAAUGGCAGGGUGCAAUGCUGUGAAGUU